rnacentral:lncRNA from 1 species
AGGGCAACACGUUCCUCAUCGCCGGCGCCGUCGCCGUCGCCCUCGUCGGCACCGCCUUCCCCAUCUUCUUCUCCCGCAAGGACACGUACGUAUACAUACACGCAACCCGGCUUGAUUUCCAUCUGCUGUACUGUACAUGUGUGUUCAUGCAAUUGCGUGCGCGUACGCAGGUGCCCCGAGUGCGACGGCGCCGGGUUCGUGCGCAAGUCCGGCGCGACGCUGCGGGCCAACGCGGCGAGGAAGGACCAGGCGCAGAUCGUCUGCGCCAACUGCAACGGGCUCGGCAAGCUCGGCCAGAUCGACAAGUAGCCGCCUCAUCCAUCAACGUCCUCCUCCGAUCCUCCGGCCGCCGUCCCGUCGACCGAUCGCUCCUUCGUCUUCCUCCUCCUGCGGCCGCCGUCCCGUCGACCGAUCGCUCCUUCGUCUUCCUCCUCCUCCUCCUCCUCACCUGUUCUCGCAGCUGCGUGCGUGGGACGCAGGAAUCCUACAGGAACUGAACGAUCCAUACAGAGAAGAUGGAUCAAGGUCCGGUAGAAUUCCCGGGUUCCCAGCUGCAAAUCCUCCACCG